AGAGUUUGAUCCUGGCUCAGAAUGAACGCUGGCGGCGUGCCUAACACAUGCAAGUCGGAUGUGCCGCAAGGUGCAUGGCAGACGGGUGAGUAACGCGUGGGGAACCUACCUCUUUGUGGGGGAUAACGUUCCGAAAGGAAUGGUAAUACCGCAUGAGACCAUGGGCUGGGAUGCUUAUGGUGAAACCCGGGGACCGCAAGGCCUGGGGCAAGGAGAGGGUCCUGCGUCUGAUUAGCUAGUUGGUGGGGUAACGGCCUACCAAGGCAUCGAUCAGUAGCCGGCCUGAGAGGGUGAUCGGCCACACUGGAACUGAGACACGGUCCAGACUCCUACGGGAGGCAGCAGUGGGGAAUUUUGCGCAAUGGGCGAAAGCCUGACGCAGCAACGCCGCGUGGGUGAUGAAGGUCUUCGGAUCGUAAAACCCUGUCGUCAGGGACGAAGGUUGCAUAUUUAAUAGAUGUGCAGCUUGACGGUACCUGGAGAGGAAGCCCCGGCUAACUCUGUGCCAGCAGCCGCGGUAAUACAGAGGGGGCAAGCGUUAUUCGGAAUUAUUGGGCGUAAAGGGCGCGUAGGCGGUGUUUUAAGUGAGAUGUGUAAUCCCCGAGCUUAACUUGGGAACUGCAUCUCAGACUGGAGCGCUAGAGUGCUGGAGAGGGUGGUAGAAUUCCACGUGUAGCGGUGAAAUGCGUAGAGAUGUGGAGGAAUACCAGUGGCGAAGGCGGCCACCUGGACAGUAACUGACGCUGAGGCGCGAAAGUGUGGGUAGCAAACAGGAUUAGAUACCCUGGUAGUCCACGCUGUAAACGAUGAACACUUGGUGUGGCGGGAGUUGACCCCUGCCG
rnacentral:rRNA from 1 species